CAAGUCGAGCGGAAACGAUCCUAGCUUGCUAGGAGGCGUCGAGCGGCGGACGGGUGAGUAACGCGUGAGAAUCUGCCCAUUUGUGGGGGAUAACUUGGGGAAACCCAAGCUAAUACCGCAUAAUCCCUACGGGGGAAAGCAGGGGACCUUCGGGCCUUGUGCAGAUGGAUGAGCUCGCGUCGGAUUAGCUUGUUGGUGAGGUAAAGGCUCACCAAGGCGACGAUCCGUAGCUGGUCUGAGAGGAUGAUCAGCCACACCGGGACUGASACACGGCCCGGACUCCUACGGGAGGCAGCASUGGGGAAUCUUGGACAAUGGGGGCAACCCUGAUCCAGCCAUGCCGCGUGUGUGAAGAAGGCCCUAGGGUUGRAAAGCACUUUCAGUAGGGAGGAAGGCUUAUKCUUAAUACGGAUGAGUACUUGACGUUACCUACAGAAGAAGCACCGGCUAAUUUCGUGCCAGCAGCCGCGGUAAUACGAAAGGUGCGAGCGUUAAUCGGAAUUACUGGGCGUAAAGCGC
rnacentral:rRNA from 1 species